rnacentral:tRNA from 1 species
GGAGAGGUAGCGAAGUCCGGCCGUAACGCGCUCGACUCGAAAUCGAGUUAGCACAGAGAUGUGCUACGUGGGUUCGAAUCCCACCCUCUCCGCCA